AACGAACGCUGGCGGCAGGCCUAACACAUGCAAGUCGAGCGAGGACUUCGGUCCUAGCGGCGGACGGGUGAGUAACGCGUGGGAACGUGCCCUUUGCUUCGGAAUAGCCCUGGGAAACUGGGAGUAAUACCGGAUGAGCCCUUUGGGGGAAAGAUUUAUCGGGGAAGGAUCGGCCCGCGUUGGAUUAGGUAGUUGGUGGGGUAAUGGCCUACCAAGCCGCCGAUCCAUAGCUGGUUUGAGAGGAUGAUUAGCCACACUGGGACUGAGACACGGCCCAGACUCCUACGGGAGGCAGCAGUGGGGAAUCUUAGACAAUGGGGGAAGCCCUGAUCUAGCCAUGCCGCGUGAGCGAUGAAGGCCUUAGGGUUGUAAAGCUCUUUCAGCUGGGAAGAUAAUGACGGUACCAGCAGAAGAAGCCCCGGCUAACUCCGUA
rnacentral:rRNA from 1 species